rnacentral:rRNA from 1 species
UGAGACAGGUGCUGCAUGGCUGUCGUCAGCUCGUGUCGUGAGAUGUUGGGUUAAGUCCCGCAACGAGCGCAACCCUUAUCCUUUGUUGCCAGCGGUUCGGCCGGGGAAUUCUAGGAGACUGGCCGGGAUAAACUGGAAGAAGGGGGGGAUGACCUCCAAUCCUUAUGGCCCUUAUGACCUGGGCUACCCACGUGCUACAAUGGCGCAUACCAAGGGAAGCGAACCCGCGAGGGUGAGGAAAUCCCAAAAAUUGCGUCCUAAUUCGGAUUGGAGUCUGCAACUCCACUCCCUGAAGCCGGAAUCCCUAGUAAUCCGGGAUCAAAAUGGCCCGGUGAAUACGUUCCCGGGUCUUGUACACACCGA